rnacentral:lncRNA from 1 species
GAAGCGCUAACGAACAGACGGGCGACGGGCGACGGACGGACGAAAGGAAAACGCGGACGACGGACGGACGACGGACGGACGACGGACGACGGAAGGACGGACGGACGACGGACGGACGACGGAAGGACGGACGGACGACGGACGGACGGACGACGGACGGACGACGGGCGACGGACGAAAAGAAGGACGGACGGACGGACGACGGACGGACGAGCCCGCCGAAAUCCGCACGGCCCAGGCCGCUCCCUUUAAAAAUAUUGAGGUAGAGGAAAAGGGGUUGGCCGCCGAAAAGGCCGGCGGAGAGGUCUUGAGGUCGGACGACCACGUAAGACAAUCCGCACGGCCCAGGCCGCUCCCCCGGAAAAACGAGAGCUGGAGAAGCCCGCCGAAAAGGCCGGCGGAAAAGUUUCAAGGUCGGACGACCACACGAGACAAUCCGCACGGCCCAGGCCGCUUCCCCGAGCAAACCCAAAUCGGAAAAGCCCGCCGAAAAGGCCAACGGAAGGUCCCCGGUGCCGCAAGGCCACACGGGAACGUCCGAAGGGCCCAGGCCGCUUCUCCGAAACAAACAAUUGAAGGGGAAAAGCGAGAGCGAAAGGCAAACGGGGAGCGAAAGCUAGAGGAAGAGGGAAAGCGACCAACGAUCAAGCAGAAAGCGAAAGAAGGUGGAUCUCGGCGGAGCGAAAGAAGGACGGACGGACGACGGACGGACGAGCGAAAGCGACGGACGACGGACGAACGAGCGAAAGCGACGGACGACGGACGGACGAAAGGGGGGCGGACGGCCCCAGGCCCCCACGUGAGAUAAUCCGCACGGCCCAGGCCGCUCCCCCGGGAAAACGAGAGCUGGAGAAGCCCGCCGAAAAGGCCGGCGGAAAAGUCUCAAGGUCGGACGACCACACGAGACAAUCCGCACGGCCCAGGCCGCUUCCCCGAGCAAACGCAAAUCGGAAAAGCCCGCCGAAAAGGCCAAUGGAAGGUCCCCGGUGCCGCAAGGCCACACGGGAACGUCCGAAGGGCCCAGGCCGCUUCUCCGAAACAAACAAUUGAAGGGGAAAAGCGAGAGCGAAAGGCAAACGGGGAGCGAAAGCUAGAGGAAGAGGGAAAGCGACCAACGAUCAAGCAGAAAGCGAAAGAAGGUGGAUCUCGGCGGAGCGAAAGAAGGACGGACGGACGACGGACGGACGAGCGAAAGCAACGGACGACGGACGGACGAGCGAAAGCGACGGACGACGGACGGGCGAAAGGGGGGCGGACGGCCCCAGGCCCCCGGGCCUGCCAAGGAAGGGGGGAGUACUGUUGGUACCAUGGACCGUGGACCGCGGCCCAUGGACCGAA